AAGUCGUAACAAGGUUUCCGUAAAUCAUUACGGAAAUCAUACAAAAAUCUCUGGUAAAUCAUUGCCCGGAAAGUUGUUUUGAUUCAGAGACCUGGCUACGAGUGUCUUCCUAGACCGUACACUCGGGCAGGAGCUAUGCCAAAGGGUCCCCAUGCCCCCUUACAACCCCACAGUUUAAUGUAAAGCUCAAUGUAAUACAUUGGGUAAAAAAACCGAACAAUAACAAUGGAUAUCUUGUUCUC
rnacentral:misc_RNA from 1 species